rnacentral:rRNA from 1 species
CCCUUAGAUGUCCUGGGCCGCACGCGCGCUACACUGACAUGUUCAACAAGCCUCCUAGUUCGACAGGAUUUGGGAAAUCUUUGAACGCAUGUCGUGAUAGGGAUUGAUCAUUGCAAUUAUUGAUCUUGAACGAGGAAUUCCUAGUAAACGCGAGUCAUCAGCUCGCAUUGAUUACGUCCCUGCCCUUUGUACACACCGCCCGUCGCACCUACCGAUUGAAUGUUUCGGUGAAGAUUCCGGAUAGGACUUUUUUGAUUUAUUUCAAUUUUGUCUUAAAAGCUAUCUAAACCUCAACAUUUAGAGGAAGGUGAAGUCGUAACA